GGCCACGAGUCAGGCUCAGGCUCAAGCCGGCCCAGUUUCACCACCAAAGAAACCUAUGAACCCUAUGUCACCCCUGUUAGAUUCCACCCUGAUGAACCCUAUAACAGCAUCCCCGAAUCCUCCAACAAUAAAGACACUUACUACUACAACAAGAAUGCCUACAAGUCCACUAAGCAGCAAAACUUGGGCGAGGCCAUUUUCACCGAGAAAGGAUGGAGCACCAAGGAAAACCAGAACAACAACUACUACAACGGCAACAUUAAUGGCGAGAAGCAAGGCAUGAGCGAUACUAGGUACUUGGAGAAUGGAAAGUACUACUAUGACGUCAAGAGU
rnacentral:lncRNA from 1 species